CGCGGAGUAGCUCAGCGGCUAGAGCAGUGGGAUGCCACCCCACGAUCAGGAGUUCGAAUCUCCUCUCCGCGU
rnacentral:tRNA from 1 species